rnacentral:rRNA from 1 species
AAGUGGAAAACGAUGUGAAGUUACUUAAACAACCAGGAGGUUGGCUUAGAAGCAGCCAUCCUUUAAAGAAAGCGUAAUAGCUCACUGGUCUAGUGAUUUUGCGCGGAAAAUAUAACGGGGCUAAAGUAAGUACCGAAGCUGUAGACUUAGUUUACUAAGUGGUAGGAGAGCGUUCUAUUUGCGUCGAAGGUAUACCGGUAAGGAGUGCUGGAGCGAAUAGAAGUGAGCAUGCAGGCAUGAGUAGCGAUAAUUAAUGUGAGAAUCAUUAACGCCGUAAACCCAAGGUUUCCUACGCGAUGCUCGUCAUCGUAGGGUUAGUCGGGUCCUAAGUCGAGUCCGAAAGGGGUAGACGAUGGCAAAUUGGUUAAUAUUCCAAUACCAACAUUAGUGUGCGAUGGAAGGACGCUUAGGGCUAAGGGGGCUAGCGGAUGGAAGUGCUAGUCUAAGGUCGUAGGAGGUUAUACAGGCAAAUCCGUAUAACAAUACUCCGAGAACUGAAAGGCUUUUUGAAGUCUUCGGAUGGAUAGAAGAACCCCUGAUGCCGUCGAGCCAAGAAAAGUUUCUAAGUUUAGCUAAUGUUGCCCGUACCGUAAACCGACACAGGUGGGUGGGAUGAGUAUUCUAAGGCGCGUGGAAGAACUCUCUUUAAGGAACUCUGCAAAAUAGCACCGUAUCUUCGGUAUAAGGUGUGGUUAGCUUUGUAUUAGGAUUUACUCCGAAAGCAAGGAAACUUACAACAAAGAGUCCCUCCCGACUGUUUACCAAAAACACAGCACUCUGCUAACUCGUAAGAGGAUGUAUAGGGUGUGACGCCUGCCCGGUGCUCGAAGGUUAAUUGAUGGGGUUAGCAUUAGCGAAGCUCUUGAUCGAAGCCCGAGUAAACGGCGGCCGUAACUAUAACGGUCCUAAGGUAGCGAAAUUCCUUGUCGGUUAAAUACCGACCUGCAUGAAUGGCGUAACGAGAUGGGAGCUGUCUCAAAGAGGGAUCCAGUGAAAUUGUAGUGGAGGUGAAAAUUCCUCCUACCCGCGGCAAGACGGAAAGACCCCGUGGACCUUUACUACAGCUUGACACUGCUACUUGGAUAAGAAUGUGCAGGAUAGGUGGGAGGCUUUGAGUAUAUGACGCCAGUUGUAUAUGAGCCAUUGUUGAGAUACCACUCUUUCUUAUUUGGGUAGCUAACCAGCUUGAGUUAUCCUCAAGUGGGACAAUGUCUGGUGGGUAGUUUGACUGGGGCGGUCGCCUCCCAAAUAAUAACGGAGGCUUACAAAGGUUGGCUCAGAACGGUUGGAAAUCGUUCGUAGAGUAUAAAGGUAUAAGCCAGCUUAACUGCAAGACAUACAAGUCAAGCAGAGACGAAAGUCGGUCUUAGUGAUCCGGUGGUUCUGUGUGGAAGGGCCAUCGCUCAAAGGAUAAAAGGUACCCCGGGGAUAACAGGCUGAUCUCCCCCAAGAGCUCACAUCGACGGGGAGGUUUGGCACCUCGAUGUCGGCUCAUCGCAUCCUGGGGCUGGAGCAGGUCCCAAGGGUAUGGCUGUUCGCCAUUUAAAGCGGUACGCGAGCUGGGUUCAGAACGUCGUGAGACAGUUCGGUCCCUAUCUGCCGUGGGCGUAAGAAGAUUGAAGAGAUUUGACCCUAGUACGAGAGGACCGGGUUGAACAAACCACUGGUGUAGCUGUUGUUCUGCCAAGAGCAUCGCAGCGUAGCUAAGUUUGGAAAGGAUAAACGCUGAAAGCAUCUAAGCGUGAAGCCAACUCUAAGAUGAAUCUUCUCUAAGCUCUCUAGAAGACUACUAGUUUGAUAGGCUGGGUGUGUAAUGGAUGAAAGUCCUUUAGCUGACCAGUACUAAUAGAGCGUUUGGCUUAUCUUUAAUAAAGCAU